rnacentral:rRNA from 1 species
AUAUUAAUAACCAAGUAAUAUCAACGAUACAACUUAAACCAUUAUCAGCAUGUGAAGGUACUACUUUUAUCAUCCCAAUUCGAAUUGAUUCUGAUGAAAGAAAAAGAAAUUUAGACAUGGUACUAAAUGAAUUAUCCCAAAUACAGAAUACGAGGAUCAUUAUUACCGAAGGAGAUUGUACUCCUCGAUACAUCCCGCCUCAAAUAGCCAAUAUCACAUAUCAAUUCGUUAAAGAUACCAACCCAGUAUUUCAUCGAACCAAAUAUUUAAAUCUAAUGUUAAGAAUUGCACA